rnacentral:tRNA from 2 species
UGUUCAAGUCCCUCUAUCCCCA